rnacentral:lncRNA from 1 species
GCAGAGCGGACGCCACUGCGGCGGCGGUGGCGGCGGCCGCGGUGACGAUGGGGCAACUGGAGAAUGGGAUCCCGGUGGCCGUGGGGUCCGUGGGGAAAGGAGGUCCCUGAGGCUCGGAAAUAGGAACCCUGGACCGUAGGACGGGCCGCCUGGACCAAGACCGGGCAGUGGUUUCCCGCGGGCCAAGGGCGCGCCUGGGAACCGCUUUGAUCCCUGACCUGGGGCGGCGAGGCCUAUUUGGGGAGGCAAGGCGGGGCCCGACCGUGGCCGCCUUCUCUGCAAAACUUCCCAAGUGCCAUUAAUUAGCUUAGCAAAUAUUUAUUGAUCUGCUACUGUGUCCCAGCCGCCGUGGAGCCCUCGGUCUAGUGGGGAAGGAGGACAAGAAGCAAGAUUAAUAAGCAAAAUAGUGCAGUAUGAGAGGCGUGAGCCACCUCACCUGGGUGGGUUUUUGUUUAAUUGUUUGUUUUAUUAGAGACAGGGUCUUGCUCUGUAACCCAGGCUGGAGUGCAAUGGUGUAACCACAGCUCAGUGCAGCCUCAAACUCCUGGACUCAAGGGAUCCACCUCAGCCUCCCAAAUAGCUGUGACUACAGGUACAUGCCACCACCACCAGCUUUUUUUUUUUUUUUUUUUUUUUGUCUGUUAUGUUCUGUAGAGCUGAGGUCUGCUGUGUUACCCAAGCUGGUCUCAAACUACUGGGCUCAAGCAGUCCUCCUGGCUCAGCCUCCCAGUGCACUGGGAUUACAGGCAUGAGCCACCAAGCCAGGCCCCAGAAGGACCUGGGUUUAAAACACGACUCCAUUUCUACUACCUGGGUGAUGCAUGGGUAAUACCAGGCAGGUUUACCAGAGCAUCUACACCUCACUUUCUUCACCUGUGAAACAAACAAUAAGGCUGGGUGCGGUGGCUGACAUCUGUAAUCCCAGCACUUUCGGAAGCCAAGGUGGGCAGAUGACCUGAGGUAAGGAGUUCGAGACCAGCCUGGCCAACAUGGUGAAACCCCGUUUCUACUAAAAAUACAAAAAAAUUAAUUAGCCAGGCAUAGUGGCAGGUGCCUGUAAUCACAGCUACUCGGCAGGCUGAGGCAGGAGAAUUUCUUGAACCCAGGAGGUGGAGGUUACAGUGAGCCAAGAUCAUGUCAUUGCGCUCCAGCCUGGGUGACGAGAGUAAAACUCCAUCUCAAAAAAAAAAAAAAAAAAAAAAAAUGCUGGGCCCAGUGGCUCACGUCUGUAAUCCCAACACUUUGGGAGGCCAAGGCAGGUGGAUCAUGAGGUCAAGAGAUUGAGACCAUCCUGGCCAAUGUGGUGAAACACCAUCUCUACUAAAAAUACAAAAAUUAGCUGGCUGUGGUGGCGCGUGCCUGUAGUGCCAGCUACUCAGGAGGCUGAGGCAGAAUUGCAUGAACCCAGGAGGCGGAGGUUGCAGUGAGUCGAGCGUGCCACUAUACUCCAGCCUGGUGACAGAGGGAGAUUCCGUCUCAAAAACAAAACAAGACAAAACAAAAAAAACCCACCAGAAACAAUAAUGGCUCCCACUUCCACUGUUUGGUUAUGAGGAAUCAUGACAGCAGGUAGCCCACCUGCUAGCUCUCUGAUCCUCAGCUAGUGUUAUUGAAUAGUGCACAGUAAGUGAGCAAGUAGAAGUGGGAUCUGAACUCGAUUCCUCAUUCAUUCAAGUAGUUAUUUUUUUGUUUUUUUGUUUUUGUUUUUGAGACACAGGCUUGCUGGGUCAUCCAGCCUGGACUGCGGUGGCACGAUCAGUACUCACUGUAGCCUCGACCUCCUGGGCUCAAGCGAUCCUCCUGCCUCAGCCUCCCGAGUAGCUUGGACUACAAGGGUGGGACACCACACUCAGCUAAUUUUCUUAAAAUUUUUUGUAGAGACAGUCACACUAUGUCGUCCAGGCUGGUUUCAAACUCCUGGGCUCAGGUGAUCCUCCCACCUCAGCCUCCCAAAGUGCUGGGAUUACAGGCGUGAGCCAAGGCGCCCGGCCAAAUAGUAUUUCUUAUGCUCUCUCCAAAUGCUAAGCAUUGAGCUAGGAAUACCCUGCAGCAAUGCAUGGAGGAGGCAGGGUUGCUGCCCAUGGAGUGGAUGGUAUGACUGUUCUCUAAUUGUCUUUUAUGCUAAUCACACUAAUAUGCAAUAGUGUAAAGAAAAACAGGCCGGGCCAGGCGCGGUGCCUCACGCCUGUAAUCCCAGCACUUGGGAGGCCGAGGCAGGCGGAUCACCUGAGGUCAGGAGUUCAGGACUAGCCUGACCGACGUGGAGAAACCCUGUCUCUACUAAAAAAAUACAAAAUUAGCCGGGUGUGGUGGUGCAUGCCUGUAAUCCCAGCUACUUGGGAGGCUGAGGCAAGAGAAUCGCUUGAACCCAGCGGGCAGAGGUUGCGGUGAGCUGAGAUCAUGCCGUUGCACUCCAGCCUGGGCAACAAGAGCGAAACUCCGUCUCAAAAAAGAAAAACAGGCCGGUUGUGGUAGCUCAUGCAUGCCUAUAAUGGCAGUACUUUGGGAGGCCCAGGCUGGCAGAUCACUUGAGGACAGGCGUUCAAGACCAGCUUGGGUAACAUUGUGAAACCCCAUCUCUACAAAGC